AAUUUUAAUGGCCGCGGUAUUUUGACCGUGCAAAGGUAGCAUAAUCAUUAGUUCAUUAAUUGUGGACUUGUAUGAAUGGUUGGACGAAAUAUUAACUGUCUCAUAUUAAUAUAUAUAAUUUAAAUUUUGAGUUAAAAUGCUUAAAUUUUUUUAUAGGACGAGAAGACCCUAUAGAUCUUUAUUUUUUAUUUUAUUAUUUUUUUUUGUUUAUUUUUUUAAUAAUAUUAUAAUUUAUUUUGUUGGGGUGACAUGGAGAUAUAUUUAACUCUUUAUUUUUUUAAUUCAAUAAUUUUUGUAUAAUUGACCUUUUAUUAUUGUUAUAAGAUAUAGAUACCUUAGGGAUAACAGCGUAAUUUUUUUUGAGAGUUCUUAUCGACAAAGGAGAUUGCGACCUCGAUGUUGGAUUAAGAUUAUUAUUAGGUGUAGAAGCUUAAUUAUAUAAGUCUGUUCGACUUUUAAAUUCUUACAUGAUCUGAGUU
rnacentral:rRNA from 1 species